GAUGAAGAACGUAGCGAAAUGCGAUACUUGGUGUGAAUUGCAGAAUCCCGUGAACCAUCGAGUUUUUGAACGCAAGUUGCGCCCGAAGCCAUUAGGCCGAGGGCACGCUUGCCUGGGUGUCACACAUUGUUGAGUGAUGCUCGAGACCAAUCAUGGGUAACUCCACCAGAAUUGUGCUCGGUGACCCACAUGCGUCCCUUGGAUGCUCCCUAAGGAGACCUCAGGUCAGGCGGGGCUACCCGCUGAAUUUAAGCAUAUCAAUAAGCGGAGGA
rnacentral:misc_RNA from 1 species